rfam:Psychroflexus torquis ATCC 700755, complete genome.
UUAUUCUUAUGUUUGCAAGAUGCUUAAAACAAAUAACAAAUCUUGGUGGUGGUCUUUAUUACGUCAAACGUCGUGACUUAGAUCCUGCUAUGUAAAUAUAUCAUAAAGGCUUGUC